rnacentral:tRNA from 1 species
GGGUACGUCGCAUAGCGGCAAUUGCUCCUCGCUGUAGACGAGGCGUCCUCUGGACUUCGGGGGUUCGAGUCCCUCCGUACCCA